UUUCUUUUAGAUUGGGUUUUAUAUUGCUAUAGGCUCUUAGUUUUUGUUUGUUGGAGAAAUUCUUUAUUUCUCCUUUUAUUUUAAAUGAUAUUCUUGCUGGGUGGAGUAUUCUAGGUGCGAAUUUAUCCAUUUUAGAACUUUGAAUACAUUUUGCCACUUUCUUCUGGCCUACAUUGUUUCUUUAGAGAAAUCAGCUGAUAAUCUUAUGUGGGUUCCCUUAUAAUUAAUUCUUUGUUUUUCUCUUGCUGCCUUUAGAAUCCUCUCAUCUUUAACUUUUGCCCAUUUUAUUAUAUUGUGUCUUGGUGUGGGCCUGUUUUGGUUCAACUCACUUGGGGCCCUCUGUGAUUGAUACCCUAUAUCUUGAUAUCUGCUUCCUUUAGAUAUGGAAAGUUUUAAGCCAUACUUCCUUCAAUAGAUCUUCAAUCCCCUUUUCUUUUUCUUCUCCUUCUGGAAUUCCUAUUAUGCAUAGAUUGGCCUGUUUUAUAUUAUCCCAUAGAUCUCUUAUAUUGCCUUCAUGUUUUCUCAUUUGGUUUUCUGUCUGCUGUCCUGAUUGUGUGAUUUUCAUUAUUCUAUCUUCCAAGUCACUUAGUUGUUCCUCACAUUUUUCAUUCCGCUCUUCAGUGCCUUUAACUCACUUGUGACUAUACAAAUGAAUUUUAUAAUUUUUCUUGGCUCCUUCUUAUAUUUUCUAGUUCCUUUCUGAAGUAAUCUGCUUUACUCUUCAUAUACGCUCUUAAUUUCUGCAUAUUCGCUCUUAAUUCCUUCAGUAUUUUCACUAUAUCCUUUUGAACUUGGUUUCUGUUAGACUGUAGAGGUCUGUUUCACUGUUUGUUCUUUCGGGGGAUUCUCCUGUUCUUUUAACUGGGAAUGGUUCCAGAGCUUCUUCAUUUUGCUUAUAUUUUUCUUAUUCUGUGAGUUUUGGGAAAACAAAUACUGUAGUCUUGGGAUGCUAUUUAUAUGUGAGAGUGCCUCUGGAUAUUUUGUGAGGGCUUAUUGUGGUUGUUACUGUUGUUAUUAUUAUUAGUGUGAGGGCUGCUUUUGGUUUGGAUGCUUGAUGUCUCCUUCCUCAGUGUGUGCAGGCUGUUAUUCCUGUGUUGGUGUAUACCCUGUGGUUGAUUCCAGGGGGAUGAAAGCAAUGGGCAGGGCUAGUAGCCAGUGCCUGGUUGCUUGGCCCUUGACAGUGGCAAGGACCUGUGGGGAGGUGGCGUAAGCUGCACCUGGUUGCAGGGUCCUGGGACAUGGCUCUGACUCUCAGGCAGGUGGUGUGUGUGUGUGUGUGUGUGUGUGUGUGUGUGUGUGUGUGUGUUCCCAUGGGAAUAAGAGCAGAAAUGGGUGGUGCUUGGUUUCACUGCCCUCCUCUGUGCCAAAUUCUGAGGUGACUGGGGCCAUAGGUGGUGUCUGUUCAUGGACCCCUAAUGUUAGCAGGCCACACCCUCUGGAGUCUGAGAUGGCUAUGGUGGUUUGCCUCUGCCACCCUUAGCCCUUGCCAGUGGCACCCUGCUGCCCAAGAGCCUGCACCUGUGCAGAGAAGAUAUUCCUAUGAUAAUCCACCCCUUCUCCUCAUCUUCCCCAACAAUGGUGCCUUGCCCAUCCUAUGAGCCCAGGCCUCCUCCUGUGCUCCCUUGGCUGUCAUGCUGCCAUGGUGCACUGCUCCCUAGCCCUCAUGCUGCCUCCACACAGCCAACCCUAGCCCUCUCCCCAAAACUGAUCUCCAGAGCUUGAGUCUCAGCUCCCAGCCCCCAUCUGAGCAUCUCAGGCUGUGGUGUUGGGGGAUGGUGGUAGCAAUGGCUUGUGUAGCUCUCUGCUUUGCCCUCCUCAGUUCAACUACUGCACUUUUCUCUGAGGCUUGAAAUCCCUCCAUCUUGGCUGAUCUCCCUGUCACUUAGGUGGCUUCCUGGGUGCAAGUGCCUUUCCUCUUUCACAGCUUCCUCUCAGGAGUGCUGGCUGGUCCCAUAUUGACUCCUUUUUCUCUCUCUUCUUUCUUUCCUUUUUUUUUCCUUUUGUUCUACACAGCUAUGUGGAGGGUUUAUUGCCCUUUUUAGAGGUUUAAGAUCUCCUAGUUUUCAGUAGAUGUUUUGUGUGAAUUGUUCUACAUGGAGAUUUUUUUUUGUUGUUGUUUUUUGGGAAUUUUUUUUGAUAUGUUUGUUGGAGAAGGUGAGCACCAUGUCUUAAUACUCUAACAUCUUGACCUCUUUCUAUUGUGCUAUUUUUUAAGGCCAAGUAGUAUUUCAUUGUAUAUAUGUACCAUAUCUUUUUUAAUUUUAUUUAUUUAUUUAUUUAUUUAUUUUUUCCCGCUAUACAGCAUGGGGACCAAGUUACUCUUACAUGUAUGCAUUUUUUCCCCCACCCUUUGUUCUGUUGCAAUAUAAGUAUCUAGACAUAGUUCUCAAUGCUACUCAGCAGGAUCUCCUUGUAAAUCUAUUCUAAGUUGUGUCUGAUAAGCCCAAGCUCCCGAUCCCUCCCAUUCCCUCCCCCUCCCAUCAGGCAGCCACAAGUCUCUUCUCCAAGUCCAUGAUUUUCUUUUCUGAGGAGAUGUUCAUUUGUGCUGGAUAUUAGAUUCCAGUUAUAAGUGAUAUCAUAUGGUAUUUGUCUUUGUCUUUCUGGCUCAUUUCACUCAGUAUGAGA
rnacentral:lncRNA from 1 species